CGCAACCCUCCGAAAGGUAGCCUGUACCCACCCUUGUAAACGUAUUUGUGUACUUCGAAAUCAGAAAAUAAUAAAGAAAAAUGUCCAGUCGAGUUUACGUGGGUUGCAGCGCCGUUGUGGUCCUGAUGGUAGCCUUAGGAGGAGCAGCCGAUGUCUACGAGGACCCGCCUCCUGACGAGGUGGACACCGAUUUGGCCUCUAUGGAACGAAGCAAUAUUGACACGGGAUCUGAAUCACGGAAUGGACUGUUACCAAGGUCGAAC